rnacentral:rRNA from 1 species
AACGAACGCUGGCGGCAUGCCUAACACAUGCAAGUCGAACGAGACCUUCGGGUCUAGUGGCGCACGGGUGCGUAACGCGUGGGAAUCUGCCCUUGGGUUCGGAAUAACAGUUAGAAAUGACUGCUAAUACCGGAUGAUGUCUUCGGACCAAAGAUUUAUCGCCCAAGGAUGAGCCCGCGUAAGAUUAGCUAGUUGGUGAGGUAAUGGCUCACCAAGGCGACGAUCUAGUCUGGUCUGAGAGGAUGAUCAGCCACACUGGGGACUGAGACACGGCCCAGACUCCUACGGGAGGCAGCAGUGGGGAAUAUUGGACAAUGGGCGAAAGCCUGACCAGCAAUGCCGCGUGAGUGAUGAAGGCC